rnacentral:rRNA from 1 species
GACGGAGGAUGCAAGUGUUAUCCGGAAUCACUGGGCGUAAAGCGUCUGUAGGUGGUUCGAAAAGUCCACUGUUAAAAAUUGAGGCUUAACUUCAAAGAUGCCGUGGAAACUUUCAAACUAGAGUAUGGUAGGGGUAGAGGGAAUUUCCAGUGGAGCGGUGAAAUGCGUAGAUAUUGGAAAAACCACCGAUGGCGAAGGCACUCUACUGGGCCAUUACUGACACUGAGAGACGAAAGCUAGGGGAGCAAAUGGG